GUGGUUACACAUGCUGUACAUUUGUUCUUAAGAUAUAAACACUGUGAAUGUGACUGUAAAAAUAAAAGUUCAAUGUUUUAUUUUACUAUGGUACUAAUUUAAAAGGUGUUUGAACACAACAUUAUUUAUAAUUAUUCCUUAAUUAAUUUCAGGGUCUGUCGCAGUAACAUUUAAGUACUACAACCUUUUCUGACAUGCCCAUCUUGACUGAUCCCAUUGCAAGUUCAAGAGAUAUUGGAUGGUUGAGUACCAGUACUGGCUUUUGAUGCUGAGCACCAAGCAAGAUGGUAUAGAUUUUACAUAGAACAGAUAACAACAGAGUUUAAAUCCAGCCAGUCCUGCUGAUUAGACAAAUUAAAGACCUUUGCACUGGCUUGCUGGCAGUAUUACCCAAGUUAAUUAAUUAAUAUUUGCAGGGAGGUGGUUAUAAACUUUUGUGUACAGAAAAGAUGAAACGUUACUAUCACAUUAUCAUAGACAAACAGUAAAAGAUACGAUCAACUUUAAAGCAGAAUAUAAAGUACCUGGUGGCUUUGCAAGAACAAUCGUCAAGAUGGCACCUUAGUUAUGAAAUAUUGUCCUAUAAAAUCACAAAACAACCUAGCUUUGAUAAAACAUAUAAAACUGUACUAUGGCUAGACGUCUCUGCAAGGAUGGGAAAAUUUAGUUUAGGUUGUCAUUGGCUGUUUGCUUGGUUUUACAGUGCACCAACUCAGUAUAGGUCAUAUGGCGAUGAAACCGGAAAGGUGAUUUUGGCUACCCUUGGAUGUUACAAUCUUCAAAGCAUCACCAGGGGUCAAAACCACCCCAACUGUAAAGAGCCAAGAGAUGCAUAGACUCCAGUUAUUUGAACCCAUUUAGUCACCUCAAAUUGCAGCAGUAUUCAAAAAUUUAACAUAGGAAAAUUGCGGAUAGGGAUAUUGUAAAACAAGAGUGAAAAUAUGCAAGGAGAGUGAAUUUUGCAACCGCAGUACUGCUUGGAAGACCACUACUAGAGAAUGUGAACUAGUAUUGGAUGAUAAGAGAAAGAACUAAUUUGGUUCAGUAUCAAGAUAUUUGUAGCAGGUCUAUUAUUCCUGUGGUACUCCUUAACUGCGUGACGAACAAUAGAACCGGAAACCGGUAUCAUGACACAGUGCUCGAUAUCAUAGACAACCUUGUUUACAUUUAUGAUUGUUUGCGAUUAAUGACAAAAUAUGUAUAUAUAGAAACAGACACUCGAGAAGUGAUCAGUCAGUUUCAUCAAAAUAGAGGGUUUGGUCGUAAGCGCGGGCCAAGAUAAAAAUCUCCAAUAUAUUGUAAGGGGCAAGCGAAGCAAGUAAAAAAAGUACACGAGGGAUGAUAUUAGAGUAAAUACAUUUGUUUACAUAACGUCUAAACAAUUAUUGUUUAGCAGCUUUUGAAGAAAACUGUUUCGAAAACGUUUAGAAAUUAUUGCACUUAAAUGCUGUAUUUUAUUUUAUUUGUAUGAUUUAAUUUCCUGCCUGGUAAAAUUGGGAGAGAUAACAUUUUUAUUAUAAUAGCUUUGGGCUUGUCAGUUUGCCUAUACAGAGUCAGUGAAGAAGAAAUUAUAUUUCAUCGCACAUGGUUGCGAUAUUAUAUUUAUAGAAAAGCCAUGAAUAUAUUUUGUACGUUAAUGUAAUUUAUUUCAUAUUUUUGCUGUUAUUAUCUUAUCUCGAAUUGCUUUGACUAUGAGUAAAAUAACAUGUAGCUUGA